AUGGGAACUUGGAAGCUCCGCUAGGCAGCCGGGCGAGUGGAGGGGGCAGGACAGGUUUGGCGCUCGACGCUCGGCCGGCGUCAAGCAGUUGGAAGAAGAUAGCGCCAGGCGCUUCCUCCCCCCUGUCUCCUUCACGCGACUGACUGCCUGACAGAGCUAAGGCCGCUUUCGGAGAGAUUCUAUUUAGCGCUAUGAGCGUGCUCUGUUCUUGUUACUUGCAAAAGUUUAACAAGGACGGAGUACGCUCAGCGCUAAAUAGCGUCUCUCCGAACGCGGUCUAAGUUUGUAUCUAUGCGUAAGACUCGGUCUUACGGUUUUACCUCGAUACAGCGUUAGCUUCUUUCUUUUUGGCGGCAAGGUUCACUGAAUUCCCGGCCGCGACAGUAUGGACUACGAAAUAGAACUUGUGCUUUGAGGACGCCGAAGCAAAUGCCACGGGACAAUGUGCGCGAUCGAGCUCUUCGAUUCCGCAGGACCGCGAGACGUUCUCUUCGUUUCUCGGAGCGUGUACUUGACGCGAGAUACGGAAGCUGACCGCCGUCUACCGUUCGCCCUCGCUUUUCCUUGGACGUAAAUGGAGUGGACGAGAGUCGCGAGUGUGUCGAAUGUGAAAAUUUUCCGAGGGACAGUUGGACAGAAUCGACCCUGUGGACUCGACUCGUAGCACCAGGAAUCGCCGACGUGUUGGUUCGCUAGAGGAUCGUUGUGGAGCGCCGUGGACACGGAGCGCACCGAUCUCCCG